CCUACGGGUGGCUGCAGUGAGGAAUAUUGGUCAAUGGUCGGGAGACUGAACCAGCCAAGCCGCGUGAGGGAUGAAGGUACAGAGUAUCGUAAACCGCUUUUGCCAGGGAACAAAGGCGGGGACGUGUCCCCGGAUGAGUGUACCUGAAGAAUAAGCAUCGGCUAACUCCGUGCCAGCAGCCGCGGUAAUACGGAGGAUGCGAGCGUUAUCCGGAUUGAGUGGGUUUAAAGGGUGCGCAGGCGGGCUGUCAAGUCAGCGGUAAAAGCCCGGGGCUCAACCCCGGCCCGCCGUUGAAACUGGCCGUCUCGAGUUGGAGAGAGGUAUGCGGAAUGCGCGGUGUAGCGGUGAAAUGCAUAGAUAUCGCGCAGAACCCCGAUUGCGAAGGCAGCAUGCCGGCU
rnacentral:rRNA from 1 species